rnacentral:rRNA from 1 species
GACGAACGCUGGCGGCGUGCUUAACACAUGCAAGUCGAACGAAGUGGCGAACGGGUGAGUAACGCGUAAUCACCCUGCCCUUCAGAGGGGGACCACAGUUUGAAACGAGUGCUAAUAACGCAUACUGACGGAGGGCACUCCGUCUGAUUAGAUAGUUGGAGGGGUAACGGCCCACAAAGGCGAUGAUCAGUAGCCGGACUGAGAGGAUGAACGGCCACGUUGGGACUGAGACACGGCCCAGACUCCUACGGGAGGCAGCAGUGGGGAAUCUUCCGCAAUGGACGAAAGUCUGACGGAGCAACGCCGCGUGAGUGAUGACGGCCUUCGGGUUGUAAAGCUCUGUUAAUCGGGACGCGGUACCGGAAUAGAAAGCCACGGCUAACUACGUGCCAGCAGCCGCGGUAAUUC